rnacentral:rRNA from 1 species
UAGGGAAUAUUGGGCAAUGGAGGCAACUCUGACCCAGCCAUGCCGCGUGAAGGAUGAAGGUCCUCUGGAUUGUAAACUUCUUUUAUAAGGGAAGAAAAAGCUUGAUUUAUCAGGCCCUGACGGUACCUUACGAAUAAGCACCGGCUAACUCCGUGCCAGCAGCCGCGGUAAUACGGAGGGUGCAAGCGUUAUCCGGAUUCACUGGGUUUAAAGGGUGCGUAGGCGGAUCGGUAAGUCAGUGGUGAAAGCCCCGAGCUCAACUUGGGAAUUGCCAUUGAUACUGCCAGUCUUGAGUACGGUUGAAGUGGGCGGAAUGUUGCAUGUAGCGGUGAAAUGCUUAGAUAUGCAACAGAACACCGAUUGCGUAGGCAGCUCACUAAGCCGUAACUGACGCUGAGGCACGAAAGCGUGGGGAUCAAACAG